rnacentral:tRNA from 2 species
GCGUCCGUAGCUCAGCUGGAUAGAGCAGUGGACUUCGAAUCCGAAGGCCGCAGGUUCGAGUCCUGCCGGGCGCG